rnacentral:rRNA from 1 species
UACGAAGGGUGCAAGCGUUACUCGGAAUUACUGGGCGUAAAGCGUGCGUAGGUGGUUUGUUAAGUCUGAUGUGAAAGCCCCGGGCUCAACCUGGGAAUGGCAAUGGAUACUGGCAGGCUAGAGUGCGGUAGAGGGUAGUGGAAUUCCCGGUGUAGCGGUGAAAUGCGUAGAGAUCGGGAGGAACGCCAGUGGCGAAAGCGGAGUCUCUGGGCAGCAUCUGACACUGAGGCACGAAGGCCAGGGGAGCAAACGGG